rnacentral:rRNA from 2 species
CCGUCUAAUACCGGAUACGACCCGCCACCUCAUGGUGGAGGGUGGAAAGUUUUAUCGGUCAGGGAUGGGCUCGCGGCCUAUCAGCUUGUUGGUGGGGUAACGGCCUACCAAGGCGAUUACGGGUAGCCGGCCUGAGAGGGCGACCGGCCACACUGGGACUGAGACACGGCCCAGACUCCUGCGGGAGGCAGCAGUGGGGAAUAUUGCACAAUGGGCGAAAGCCUGAUGCAGCGACGCCGCGUGGGGGAUGACGGCCUUCGGGUUGUAAACCUCUUUUACCACCAACGCAGGCUCCACGUUCUCGUGGGGUUGACGGUAGGUGGGGAAUAAGGACCGGCUAACUACGUGCCAGCAGCCGCGGUAAUACGUAGGGUCCGAGCGUUGUCCGGAAUUAUUGGGCGUAAAGAGCUCGUAGGCGGCAUGUCGCGUCUGCUGUGAAAGACCGGGGCUUAACUCCGGUUCUGCAGUGGAUACGGGCAUGCUAGAGGUAGGUAGGGGAAACUGGAAUUCCUGGUGUAGCGGUGAAAUGCGCAGAUAUCAGGAGGAACACCGGUGGCGAAGGCGGGUUUCUGGGCCUUACCUGACGCUGAGGAGCGAAAGCAUGGGGAGCGAACAGGAUUAGAUACCCUGGUAGUCCAUGCCGUAAACGUUGGGCGCUAGGUGUGGGGACUUUCCACGGUUUCCGCGCCGUAGCUAACGCAUUAAGCGCCCCGCCUGGGGAGUACGGCCGCAAGGCUAAAACUCAAAGGAAUUGACGGGGGCCCGCACAAGCGGCGGAGCAUGUUGCUUAAUUCGACGCAACGCGAAGAACCUUACCAAGGUUUGACAUCACCCGUGGACCUGUAGAGAUACAGGGUCAUUUAGUUGGUGGGUGACAGGUGGUGCAUGGCUGUCGUCAGCUCGUGUCGUGAGAUGUUGGGUUAAGUCCCGCAACGAGCGCAACCCUUGUUCCAUGUUGCCAGCACGUAAUGGUGGGGACUCAUGGGAGACUGCCGGGGUCAACUCGGAGGAAGGUGGGGACGACGUCAAGUCAUCAUGCCCCUUAUGUCUUGGGCUGCAAACAUGCUACAAUGGCCGGUACAAUGGGCGUGCGAUACCGUAAGGUGGAGCGAAUCCCUUAAAGCCGGUCUCAGUUCGGAUUGGGGUCUGCAACUCGACCCCAUGAAGGUGGAGUCGCUAGUAAUCGCGGAUCAGCAACGCCGCGGUGAAUACGUUCCCGGGCCUUGUACACACCG